UACGUAGGGGGCAAGCGUUGUCCGGAUUUACUGGGCGUAAAGAGCGUGUAGGCGGCCACGCAGGUCCGUUGUGAAAACUGGAGGCUCAACUUCCAGCCGUCGACGGAAACCGUGUGGCUAGAGUCCGGAAGAGGAGAGUGGAAUUCCUGGUGUAGCGGUGAAAUGCGCAGAUAUCAGGAAGAACACCUAUGGCGAAGGCAGCUCUCUGGGACGGUACUGACGCUGAGACGCGAAAGCGUGGGGAGCGAACAGG
rnacentral:rRNA from 1 species